AAAAGAUGAGGAGGUUGUCCUUAUUUUCAUAUUUAGAAACCGACAACAUUCAACGUAGAUCGAUUCUCGUCGACUUUUCUUUCUUUUUUUCUUCUGGGUGUUGAUAUUUGGUUGAAAAGAUUUAUGUUUGGUUGCAGUUUUGACGAUUUCAUCUACCAAUCGUUUUCAAUCUCUUCAUUUUGCAUCUGAAUCUUCGUUUUUGAUAUCUCUUCGUUUUGCAUCUGAAUCAUCGAGCGACACAGAAUUUACUUUUGCAUCUGAAUCGGAAAUUGUAGGAUGAUUAUAGAGGGUGGAUCAGGGUUUCUUCUCAAUUUGGGGAUUGAUUUUUAUUCGUGAUAUCAGGGAUCGAUGGUUUCAUAUUAUUUUGUAGAAUCUAAUAUUUUAUUGUCAUAAAAGAAAUCUAGCAUUGUUUUUACCUUCUCGCAUGAGAUAGAUUAUGAUAAAUGAGAUAUUUCCAUUGGCUUGUGUUUAAAAAAAUCACAAUAAUAUUAUAAAAUUCAUUUCAAUAUUUUUCUUUUUGUGAUUUUAAAAUAGUAUUCUCUUAAUUAACACCUUUUUAUUUCAUUUUAAAAUAAUACUUCCAUCAUUCUUGAGAUUUGUAUUACAUUUUAAAUCUAAAAUAAUUAUUGAAAAUUCAUAUCGUUUGACAAUAAUUCUUUUCUUUUGAAUUAAGUAUUAUUUUUAAUAAUUAUUUUUCUCUCAUGGGUAAUUCAUGCUUUUAUUUUUUUCCCAUUUCAACAUUUUACUUUGUAUCUUUUGGAGACAUGUUUGUUGUGCUUUUUGAAUCUAAAAUAUUAAUUGCUUGUGUAGAUCGAUAGACAUGAAUCGCAUAUCGAUGUCUUUGGAGUUCAUAAUAGUUUAAAAUAAUAAAUAUCUAUUUCCAAAAUGAUUUUGUGUUCUACCCUAUUUUCAAAUAAUAUAUUAUGUAUGAGUAAAUCUCAAUAUUUUUCUUCUUGUGACUUUAAAAUAGUAUUAUGUUAUUUAACACCUUUUUAUUUCAUUUUAAAAUAAUGCUUACAAAAUGAUAGUUGAAAAUAAUAGUUGAAGAUAGAGAGUUGAAAACUAUUAAAUCUUUUUGUGACUAUAAAAUAGUAUUAUGUUAAUUGACAACUUUUUGUUUCAUUUUAAAAUAAUGCUUCCAAAAUGAUAGUUGAAAAUAUUAGUUGAAGAUAUAGAGUUGAAAACUAUUAAAUUUUUUUAUUUCAUCUUUGGAGUUUAUAAUAUAUAGUUGAAAAUAAUAAUUUUUUUUCCAAAAUGAUUUUAGAUUAUUCUUCCCUUUUUUCAAAUAAUAUAUUAUGAGAAAAUUACGAUAUUUUUCUUUUUUGACUUUAAAAUAGUAUUAUGUUAAAUAACACCUUUUUAUCUCAUUUUAAAAUAAUGCUUCCAAAAUGAUAGUUCAAAAUAAUGGUUGAAAAUAUAUAGUUGAAAACUAUUAGAUCUUUUUAUUUUGUAUUUGGAUUUCAUAAUAUAUAGUUAAAAAUAAUAAAUUUUUAUUUCCUAAAUGAUUUUUUGUUUUACUAGCCUUUUUUCAAAUAAUAUAUUAUGAGUAAAUUUCAAUAUUUUUCUUUUUGUGACUUUAAAAUAGUAUUAUGUUAAUUAACACCUUUUUAUUUCAUUUUCAAAUAAUUCUUCCAAAAUGAUAGUUCAAAAUUAUAGUUGAAAAUAUAUAGUGAAAACUAUUAGAUCUUUUUAUUUCAUCUUUGGAGUUCAUAAUAUAUAGUAGAAAAUAAUAAAUUUUUAUUUCCAAAAUGAUUUUUUCUUAUUAUACCCUUUUUUUAAAUAAUAUAUUAUCAUGAGUAAAUCUCAAUAUUUUCUAGCUUUUUGUGACUUUAAAAUAGUAUUAUUUUAUCAAACAACUUUUGUAUUUCAUUUUAAAAUAAUGAUUCCAAAAUGAUAGUUCAAAAUAAUAGUUGAAAAAAUAGAGUUGAAAACUAUUAGAUCUUUUUAUUUCAUCUUAAUUUGUAGUUCAUAAUAUAUAGUUGAAAAUAAUAAAUUUUUAUUUCCAAAAUGAUUUUGUGCUAUUCUACCCUAUUUUCAAAUAAUAUAUUAUGUAUGAGUAAAUCUCAAUAUUUUUCUACUUGUGACUUUAAAAUAGUAUUAUGUUAUUUAACACCUUUUUAUUUCAUUUUAAAAUAAUGCUUACAAAAUGAUAGUUGAAAAUAAUAGUUGAAGAUAGAGAGUUGAAAACUAUUAAAUCUUUUUAUUUCAUCUUUGGAGUUCAUAAUAUAUAGUUGAAAAUAAUAUUUUUUUUUCCAAAAUCAUUUUUUGUUAUUCUACCCUUUUUUCAAAUAAUAUAUUAUUAGUAAAUUACGAUAUUUUUCUUUUUUGACUUUAAAAUAGUAUUAUGUUAAAUAACACAUUUUUAUCUCAUUUUAAAAUAAUGCUUCAAAAAUGAUAGUUCAAAAUAAUAGUUGAAAACUAUUAGAUCUUUUUAUUUUGUAUUUGGAUUUCAUAAUAUAUAGUUAAAAAUAAUAAAUUUUUAUUUCCAAAAUGAUUUUUUGUUUUUCUAGCCUUUUAUCAAAUAAUAUAUUAUGAGUAAAUUUAAAUAUUUUUCUUUUUGUGACUUUAAAAUAGUCUUAUGUUAAUUAACACCUUUUUAUAUCAUUUUUAAAUAAUUCUUCCAAAAUGAUAGUUCAAAAUUAUUGUUGAAAAUAUAUAGUGAAAACUUUUAGAUCUUUUUAUUUCAUCUUUGGAGUUCAUAAUAUAUAGUAGAAAAUAAUAAAUUUUUAUUUCCAAAAUGAUUUUUUCUUAUUUUACCUUUUUUUCAAAUAAUAUAUUAUGUAUGAGUAAAUCUCAAUAUUUUUCUUGCCUUUUGUGACUUUAAAAUAGUAUUAUUUUAUUUAACACCUUUUUAUAUCAUUUUAAAAUAAUGCUUCCAAAAUGAUAGUUGAAAAUAUUAGUUGAAGAUAUAGAGUUGAAAACUAUUAAAUCUUUUUAUUUCAUCUUUGGAGUUAAUAAUAUAUAGUUGAAAAUAAUAAUUUUUUUUCCAAAAUGAUUUUAGAUUAUUCUUCCCUUUUUUCAAAUAAUAUAUUAUGAGUAAAUUACGAUAUUUUUCUUUUUUGACUUUAAAAUAGUAUUAUGUUAAAUAACACCUUUUUAUCUCAUUUUAAAAUAAUGCUUCCAAAAUGAUAGUUCAAAAUAAUAGUUGAAAAUAUAUAGUUGAAAACUAUUAGAUCUUUUUAUUUUGUAUUUGGAUUUCAUAAUAUAUAGUUAAAAAUAAUAAAUGUUUAUUUCCAAAAUGAUUUUUUGUUUUUCUAGCCUUUUUUCCAAUAAUAUAUUAUGAGUAAAUUUCAAUAUUUUUCUUUUUGUGACUUUAAAAUAGUAUUAUGUUAAUUAACACCUUUUUAUUUCAUUUUUAAAUAAUUCUUCCAAAAUGAUAGUUCAAAGUUAUAGUUGAAAAUAUAUAGUGAAAACUAUUAGAUCUUUUUAUUUCAUCUUUGGAGUUCAUAAUAUAUAGUAGAAAAUAAUAAAUUUUUAUUUCCAAAAUGACUUUUUCUUAUUUUACCCUUUUUUCAAAUAAUAUAUUAUAUAUGUAUGAGUAAAUCUCAAUAUUUUUCAAGCUUUUUGUGACUUUAAAAUAGUAUUAUUUUAUUUAACACCUUUUUAUAUCAUUUUAAAAUAAUGCUUCCAAAAUUAUAGUUGAAAAUAAUAGUUGAAGAUAUAGAGUUGAAAACUAUUAAAUCUUUUUAUUUCAUACUUGGAGUUCAUAAUAUAUAGUUGAAAACAAUAUAUUUUUUUUCCAAAAUCAUUUUUUGUUAUUCUACCCUUUUUUCAAAUAAUAUAUAUAUUAUGUACGAGUAAUUAUCAAUAUUUUUCUUUUUUUUACUUUA
rnacentral:lncRNA from 1 species